AAACAUUCUGGCUGUAGUUUGGCAUACAUGUGGUGUUUUUGGCUAUGUUUUGGCCUAAAAGUAAGCAAGAUAAAGCUUUCGUCUUACCUUUGGCAUGAUUAUGGUUUGCCAUAAAAGAUAAAAAGGCGCCAGUGGAUAGAUAACUAUACGGGUCAGUUAUGGCAUAUGUCUGGGUAGCCAUAAUACUGGGUGAAGAGCGGGACUACGUUUUGGCAUCCUUGUGGAUAGCCAAAAGACGGAGUAACGGUUUCUUCAUUUUUUUCGCUGAUGAAGUGCUCAGUAGAAGACGAAAUGGCGGUGUCUGAAGGCUCACUGUAAUUCACAAAUGGCUUCAGUCUGGUUUGGGGGUCUACCCUUUCUCAUCAUGUCCUGCCACCCAAUAAAGCCAAGUGGCUCCAGCCUGGUUUAGGGGUCUACCCUUUAUCAUCAUGUCCUGCCACCCAAUAAAGCCAUUCACAAGUGGCUCCAGCCUGGUUUGGGGGUCUACCCUUUCUCAUCAUGUCCUGCCACCCAAUAAAGCCAUUCACAAGUGGCUCCAGCCUGGUUUGGGGGUCUAGCCUUUCUCAUCCUGUCCUGCCACCCAAUAAAAAGAGCAAUAACUAAAGGCCUCUGCAACUGCUUUUACCAGAUGCUGUGAGAGAGCCAUGCCCUGAAAAAACGCCAGACACCAGCCACCUAGCCACCAGCCGAUGAAUGAAUUGAAUCAAAUAAUUUAAUAAAUAAAUCAAAUUACCAUGAAAUGCA